UGUGAAAAUGAUGACCAAGGGGAUCUGAAAUAAUUUGAAGUAAAGAUGUCAUCCAUUUUCUGAUUCACA